ACUGACUGAGACCUCAGGGAGAUAUAGGGUCAGCAUUAUUUGUGAGAGCAAUUGAUCGUUUGCAGGGCCUGGUUAGCCAUUUCUGUAGACAAAUGAGAGCAUUUUCUUGCAGCUGAGCUGGAUGCUUAAGGGGAGUUGAGUAGAAACAAUCCCAAUACAAGUCUACUCAUUCACACCCACACACACCCACACACACCCAUACACACUCACACACACCCAUACACACACACACUCACACACACCCAUACACACACACACUCACACACACCCAUACACACACACACACCCAUACACACCCACACACACCCAUACACACUCACACACACCCAUACACACACACACCCAUACACACACACACUCACACACACCCAUACACACACACACACACCCAUACACACACACACACACACCCAUACACACCCACACACACCCAUACAUACUCACACACACCCAUACACACACACACACACCCAUACACACACACUACACACACUCACAUCUCCACACACUACACAUACACUCACAGCUUCACACACUACACACACCCACACACUCACACCCACAAACUCAGACUCCACAAACCCACAUGCACUCACACCUCCACACACUACACACACAUACUCACACCUCCACACACUACACACACACACUCACACCUCCACACACUACACAUACACUCACAGCUUCACACACUACACAUCUACCCACUCACACACACACACACACAUUCAGACCCCACACACCCACACACACUCAUAUACUCACAUCUCCACACACUACACACACCCACACACUCACAUACACACUACACACACACUCAUACCUUCAUACACUAUACACACCCACACACCCACACACACCACACACACACCCCUCACAAACACCACACACAGUCAUACACCACACACUCACACAUACCACAUCCCUACACUUCCAUACCCACACACCCCACACACACACCCCACAACACACCACACACACACCACAUCCCAUACAUACCCUACACACUCACACACAUACCACAUGCAUACAGCACAUAUACACUCACGUAUACACACACUCUCAUACACACACACCACACACACCACACAUCCCAUACACACACACACACUCACUCAGAUGGUGAAAGCAAGCAGUGUUCAUGGUCAUCUCUCCUUUGACACCCACUCCUUCAUUUGGGGGAAGACAGUGAGUCACAUACUUCCCAGGGAAUUCUGUGUUAAUGCCGGCAGGGAGCAGCUGGUCACAGCCUGAUUUGGAGUCUAACUAUAUAAGGGUCUUUCAUCCACUCUGACUUGGUGUGUGUGUGUGUGUGUGUGUGUGUGUGUGUGUGUGUGUGAGAGAGAGAGAGAGAGAGAGAGAGAGAGAGAGAGAGUAUGUGUGUGGUGUGUAUGAGUCUGAGUCUCAGUGUGUGUGUGUGUAUGUGAGUAUGUGAGUAUGUAUGUGGUGUGUGUGUAUGUGAAUAUGUAUGUGGUGUGUGAGUGUGUGUGUGUGUCCCAACAACUUUGUGUACUUUUCCUCAGAGGGCAGCAUCCACUUUGGUUUUUUGAGACAAGAACUCUGAGCUGGCCUGGAACUUAGUGAGUUGGGUAGGCUGGCCAGUGAGACCAGAAUUUCUUAGAUUCUAUGAGUCUUGAUGCUAGUUCUGGCCCAGGGAGUGAAGAGGUGAGGAAGGCUCGGCAUCCUUGAAGCCUCACCCAGAGACAAGGCUAAGCGCCUUUGCUCCUGGGUUCUCUUCUGUGCUUUAGCAGUGACUGUGCUAAUGCCUCCCACACUGUGCUAAUGCUGUCCCAUA
rnacentral:lncRNA from 1 species